rnacentral:rRNA from 1 species
GAUGAACGCUGGCGGCGUGCUUAACACAUGCAAGUCGAACGGGAAUUACUUUAUUGAAACUUCGGUCGAUUUAAUUUAAUUCUAGUGGCGGACGGGUGAGUAACGCGUGGGUAACCUGCCUUAUACAGGGGGAUAACAGUCAGAAAUGGCUGCUAAUACCGCAUAAGCGCACAGAGCUGCAUGGCUCGGUGUGAAAAACUCCGGUGGUAUAAGAUGGACCCGCGUUGGAUUAGCUUGUUGGUGGGGUAACGGCCCACCAAGGCGACGAUCCAUAGCCGGCCUGAGAGGGUGAACGGCCACAUUGGGACUGAGACACGGCCCAGACUCCUACGGGAGGCAGCAGUGGGGAAUAUUGCACAAUGGGGGAAACCCUGAUGCAGCGACGCCGCGUGAAGGAAGAAGUAUCUCGGUAUGUAAACUUCUAUCAGCAGGGAAGAUAGUGACGGU